rnacentral:lncRNA from 1 species
UAAAAUAUGCUUAUGCUAAAGGUGAGAAAAAUGAUAAGGAAAUAUGGUUGGCAAAGUAUUGGCAUUUAAGCAUCAAUGGACAGAUGCCAUACACAAAAUCCUCACAGUUAGCAAGCAGUGUGCAUCUAAUGCUCCACGUCGAUGGAUAGUAGGAAUUUGGUUUCAAGUGGGCGUUUGAUUGGAAUUUGGAAUUGGCUUGAAGGUGACCUUAUUAACAUGAUCUCAUGUUUCCCAUUCCGUCUCUCCAUUCGAGCCCAACUAAUUCAGAUCGUGUGUU